rnacentral:rRNA from 1 species
UACGAAGGGUGCAAGCGUUAAUCGGAAUUACUGGGUGUAAAGGGUUCGUAGGCGGUGUAGCAAGUCGGGAGUGAAAUCUCUGGGCUUAACCCAGAGGCUGCUUCCGAAACUGCUGUGCUUGAGUGUGGGAGAGGCGCGUGGAAUUGCAGGUGUAGCGGUGAAAUGCGUAGAUAUCUGCAGGAACACCCGUGGCGAAAGCGGCGCGCUGGACCACUACUGACGCUGAGGAACGAAAGCUAGGGGAGCAAACAGG